rnacentral:lncRNA from 1 species
CAGAGAGCUGUCGGUGGAAUUUGUCCCUACCUUAUCCUCUCACCGAGUCGCCCAUCGACCACCGCUCGUUCCCCUCCCGAUUUUCUUCGCUUUUUCUCUGUCCCCUCCAUCAGCGCCUCCCUCCCACCCGCAUCUUCUUCCACCUCCUCCCAUCCAUCCGAGCUCCUUCCCUUCCACCUCCCAUCCGUCGACGCCAACGCCGGUGGUGCGGCGGCCAACCUGGCCCAUGCGCCGCCGCCACCGGUGCCCAACCUGGCCCGUGCGGUGGGGGCACUGCCGGGGAAGCGAAUCGAGGUGGUGUGGGAGCGGGAGAACACGCUGCUCUCGUUCGGCCGGGCCGUCGCCUUCGUCGAGUUCAACGUCCAGAUUCAUGGUAGAUUUAAAGGGGCUGGCAAUGAGUUCAACUCACAAGGUUGUGACGACGAAUUUGUGCCUGAAACACAACAAGAUGUUCCAAUCGAGGAGAUUGGCAUAGGCCAUCCAAUGACAAGCAAAUCAGGAGGGCCGCGCCAGCUCGGAGUGCAUCCUCGCUUGGGUACAAUGUUGCACGAUUGGCUUCGGGCUAUUUCAGAGUAUGAGAAGCCAAGCAUCGACAUGGCAACCAUCGAGAAGGCAUGGGCCGAUGAGAAAAAGGCAAUCGCUGAUGCGGACUAUGAGGGAAAUCCAAGCAAGGUGAACACAAGCUCCGAGAAGAAGGCAUGUGUCGACGAGGGGAAGUCAAUCUCCGAUGCAGAAACUGAUGAUGAGGGCAUCGGUGUGCCUGAGAAGAAGGCAUGCAUCGCCGAGGGAAAGUCAAUCUCCGACGCAGAGACUGAUGAUGAGGGCGUCGGUGUGCCUCGGAAUUUACAGAUGAAAGAUUUGCACGAUAUCAUGUUUCCUACCUGCUGAAUGUGAUUGUGUUGUGGUAUUUUAUUGUGGAAAUGCACAAUGGACGUAGGAGUACUUAGUGCAAUAUGGAUGUAGGACUACCAUGUUUAUAAGUGUACAAAUUACCGUAGUGUUCCAUAUGGUUGCCAGACUAGUACGAAGUAUUUUGUUAUGGAAAUGCCCUAGUUAUAGUCAUAUACUCCUAUAAUAUAUUGUUCUAAUGAUUGUAGUAUUGUUCC